UAGGGAAUCUUCGGCAAUGGGGGGAACCCUGACCGAGCAACGCCGCGUGAGUGAAGAAGGUUUUCGGAUCGUAAAGCUCUGUUGUUAAGGAAGAACGAGUGUGAGAAUGGAAAGUUCAUACUGUGACGGUACUUAACCAGAAAGGGACGGCUAACUACGUGCCAGCAGCCGCGGUAAUACGUAGGUCCCGAGCGUUGUCCGGAUUUAUUGGGCGUAAAGCGAGCGCAGGCGGCUAGAUAAGUCUGAAGUUAAAGGCAGUGGCUCAACCAUUGUAGGCUUUGGAAACUGUUUAACUUGAGUGCAGAAGGGGAGAGUGGAAUUCCAUGUGUAGCGGUGAAAUGCGUAGAUAUAUGGAGGAACACCGGUGGCGAAAGCGGCUCUCUGGUCUGUAACUGACGCUGAGGCUCGAAAGCGUGGGGAGCGAACAGG
rnacentral:rRNA from 1 species